UAUUUAUAAGCGCUGAAUCAUUUUUGAGCGGGGGAACCACUUUUGGGGUGAAUCUUAGCUAUUGCUAAGUAGGGUUAACUCUUUCGAUCCAAACCCGUCAGCUAACCUCGUAGGCGUUGAUAGAGGAGUA
rnacentral:sRNA from 2 species